AGUCGAGGGGCAGCAUUUUAGUUUGCUUGCAAACUAAAGAUGGCGACCGGCGCACGGGCUGAGUAACACGCUAUCCAACCUGCCGAUAACUCGGGGAUAGCCUUUCGAAAGAAAGAUUAAUAUCCGAUAGUAUAUUAAAACCGCAUGGUUUUACUAUUAAAGAAUUUCGGUUAUCGAUGGGGAUGCGUUCCAUUAGUUUGUUGGCGGGGUAACGGCCCACCAAGACUACGAUGGAUAGGGGUUCUGAGAGGAAGGUCCCCCACAUUGGAACUGAGACACGGUCCAAACUCAUACGGGAGGCAGCAGUGAGGAAUAUUGGUCAAUGGACGAGAGUCUGAANCCAGCCAAGUAGCGUGAAGGAUGACUGCCCUAUGGGUUGUAAACUUCUUUUAUAUGGGAAUAAAGUAUUNCCACGUGUGGGAUUUUUGUAUGUACCAUAUGAAUAAGGAUCGGCUAACUCCGUGCCAGCAGCCGCGGUAAUACGGAGGAUCCGAGCGUUAUCCGGAUUUAUUGGGUUUAAAAGGGAGCGUAGGUGGAUUGUUAAGUCAGUUGUGAAAGUUUGCGGCUCAACCGUAAAAUUGCAGUUGAAACUGGCAGUCUUGAGUACAGUAGAGGUGGGCGGAAUUCGUGGUGUAGCGGUGAAAUGCUUAGAUAUCACGAAGAACUCCGAUUGCGAAGGCAGCUCACUAGACUGCAACUGACACUGAUGCUCGAAAGUGUGGGUAUCAAACAGGAUUAGAUACCCUGGUAGUCCACACAGUAAACGAUGAAUACUCGCUGUUUGCGAUAUACAGUAAGCGGCCAAGCGAAAGCAUUAAGUAUUCCACCUGGGGAGUACGCCGGCAACGGUGAAACUCAAAGGAAUUGACGGGGGCCCGCACAAGCGGAGGAACAUGUGGUUUAAUUCGAUGAUACGCGAGGAACCUUUACCCGGGCUUAAAUUGCAUUUGAAUAAUCUGGAAACAGGUUACCCGCAAGGCAAAUGUGAAGGUGCUGCAUGGUUGGUCGUCAGCUCGUGCCGUGAGGUGUCGGCUUAAGUGCCAUAACGAGCGCAACCCUUAUCUUUAGUUACUAACAGGUCAUGCUGAGGACUCUAGAGAGACUGCCGUCGUAAGAUGUGAGGAAGGUGGGGAUGACGUCAAAUCAGCACGGCCCUUACGUCCGGGGCUACACACGUGUUACAAUGGGGGGUACAGAAGGCAGCUACCUGGCGACAGGAUGCUAAUCCCAAAAACCUCUCUCAGUUCGGAUCGAAGUCUGCAACCCGACUUCGUGAAGCUGGAUUCGCUAGUAAUCGCGCAUCAGCCAUGGCGCGGUGAAUACGUUCCCGGGCCUUGUACACACCGCCCGUCAAGCCAUGAAAGCCGGGGGUACCUGAAGUACGUAACCGCAAGGAGCUCCUAGG
rnacentral:rRNA from 1 species